CCUACGGGAGGCAGCAGUGGGGAAUUUUGCACAAUGGACGCAAGUCUGAUGCAGCGACGCCGCGUGAGGGAUGUAGGCCUUCGGGUUGUGAACCUCUUUCGCUCAUGGUCAAGCCGCAGUUUUGGGUUGUGGUGAGGGUAGUGGGUAAAGAAGCGCCGGCUAACUACGUGCCAGCAGCCGCGGUAAUACGUAGGGCGCGAGCGUUGUCCGGAAUUAUUGGGCGUAAAGGGCUUGUAGGCGGUUGGUCGCGUCUGCCGUGAAAUCCUCUGGCUUAACUGGGGGCGUGCGGUGGGUACGGGCUGGCUUGAGUGCGGUAGGGGAGACUGGAAUUCCUGGUGUAGCGGUGGAAUGCGCAGAUAUCAGGAGGAACACCGGUGGCGAAGGCGGGUCUCUGGGCCGUUACUGACGCUGAGGAGCGAAAGCGUGGGGAGCGAACAGGAUUAGAUACCCCGGUAGUC
rnacentral:rRNA from 1 species